AUUGAACGCUGGCGGCAUGCCUAACACAUGCAAGUCGAGCGGAUGAAGGGAGCUUGCUCCUGGAUUCAGCGGCGGACGGGUGAGAAUGCCUAAGAAUAUGCCUUGGAGUGGGGGAUAACGGCCGGGAACGGGCGCUAAUACCGCAUACGUCCUGAGGGAGAAAGUGGGGGAGCUUCGGACCGCACGCCAUCAGAUGAGCCUAGGUCGGAUUAGCUAGUUGGUGGGGUAAAGGCCUACCAAGGCGACGAUCCGUAACUGGUCUGAGAGGAUGAUCAGUCACACUGGAACUGAGACACGGUCCAGACUCCUACGGGAGGCAGCAGUGGGGAAUAUUGGACAAUGGGCGAAAGCCUGAUCCAGCCAUGCCGCGUGUGUGAAGAAGGUCUUCGGAUUGUAAAGCACUUUAAGUUGGGAGGAAGGGCAGUAAGUUAAUACCUUGCUGUUUUGACGUUACCAACAGAAUAAGCACCGGCUAACUUCGUG
rnacentral:rRNA from 1 species